AUGCGCCCGCCCUUUUGCUUGUUGCCUGCAUAUAAUUCUGUUCCUCGCUACGCUUGCUUCUCCUUUACUUAUUUAGCCAAGCUACCCUCCAUCAUCACCUCCACGACGCCUGCCUCCUCCCUCCUCGUCCUUCACGCUACUACUACAAAAGACCACACACAAGCAAGCAGAGUCACAUCGCACCACUGGCUUGGCCAAUUCCAUCUCUCGCAUAAACUAUUUCUUGGAUACCUUGAGAGAGGAUCUAGAGCAGCAGCAGCGGGAUCUGCGCGCGCAGCAGCAGCUUCCAUGGGCCUCGACGUCGCGGAAAUCUCUGAAUUGGCGGCGCUCCGGCCGAUCCAGACGGCCGUGAGCGGCUCACGGCUUACUUCAAGUCCCGGCGCGGACGAUGGCGCUGCCGAAACCGGCGGCGUCACACCCAAGGCGAGCGGCGCGCGAUCGGCCGCUGCAGGAGGAGCGGACGACGACGACGACGCUGCCGCCGAUACCGGCUGCGUGACGCCGAGGGCGAGCGGCUGCAUGGCCAUGCUGCCCAUCGCGCCGCUGCAGCAAGACGACCGCGCCGACGUCGGCUUCGCCACGCCGCUGGCCACGGGUGGAGUAAUUGGGCCGCGAGACGGCUGCGCCGCUGCCGGCGACGAGAACAGCUUCACCACGCCGACCACGGCCGACAGCGCGCUGUUGCCGGCCACGGUGUGCCCUCCGGCCCCGCGGAAGUCGGCGCCGGUUCCGACGAGGAAGCGGGCGCCGCUGCAGCAGCGGCUCUUCUACCCGGUGCCGCACGACCUGGCCACCGUCUUCGUGGCCGUGCCGCAGUGCCCGCCGCCCGCCAAGAAGAUGCGGUCGCACGCCGUGGAGUCAUCCGCGCCCCUAGGCACGUAA
rnacentral:rRNA from 1 species